GCACGCUCCCGGAAUCAACGGAUUGCGCCUCACAGGUGAAAGAGGAGAGCAAUUUUCUUCAAGAUGUGGCCUAAACCAUUCAAUGUCUCUAAAGGGCAGGCAUGAAAGGGCUCCUACCCCACUGUCAGUGCUGACUGGGUACCCAGAGGGCGCUCAACUGCAUCUGGGAAAUUUGUUCAACCUCUGCCCCAGGGAAGCUAACCGUCCCGUCUCAGAACUGCCACUCUCAGAUGGCCUCACUGGAAGGUAACAGCAGUUUCUUCUCUUUCUGGAGUAUCUGGGAAAGCUCAGCGAUCCAGGGCCAACUGUCACCAAAGAUGCUUCCUUGGGCAUCCGUGUCUGCCCAGUUAUAGACAUCUGUCUCAUCUCUGCAAGCCGGAGUGAACGUCCAUCACUGUCAUAUGCCUUGACUCCAGCGAGUCUCCAGCUCUACCCAGACCUAGCAACAGCUUAGACCAUCAUCUACCUGGCCCAUAAAAAUAAAUUAAAGGUAAAUGUGUGCAGCCAGCAAUUCCACCUUUCCAUUCCCCUUGCAAGCACUCACUCAGAGGCCCGUAAAAGGGUUGUUUGUCACCUCUCUAUUUGCGGCGGCAGCAAAAUAGAGCCCGCUUGCCUUGUGCAGCCCGAGGAGACUGAGUAAAUAAAUCACAGACCGUCUCUGGAA